rnacentral:snRNA from 1 species
CCAAGGUGAACAGCCUCUGGU